AUUGAACGCUGGCGGCAGGCCUAACACAUGCAAGUCGAACGGUAACAGGAAACAGCUUGCUGUUUCGCUGACGAGUGGCGGACGGGUGAGUAAUGUCUGGGAAACUGCCUGAUGGAGGGGGAUAACUACUGGAAACGGUAGCUAAUACCGCAUAACGUCGCAAGACCAAAGAGGGGGACCUUCGGGCCUCUUGCCAUCGGAUGUGCCCAGAUGGGAUUAGCUAGUAGGUGGGGUAACGGCUCACCUAGGCGACGAUCCCUAGCUGGUCUGAGAGGAUGACCAGCCACACUGGAACGGAGACACGGUCCAGACGCCUACGGGAGGCAGCAGUGGGGAAUAUUGCACAAUGGGCGCAAGCCUGAUGCAGCCAUGCCGCGUGUAUGAAGAAGGCCUUCGGGUUGUAAAGUACUUUCAGCGGGGAGGAAGGGAGUAAAGUUAAUACCUUUACUCAUUGACGUUACCCGCAGAAGAAGCACCGGCUAACUCCGUG
rnacentral:rRNA from 1 species